rnacentral:lncRNA from 1 species
AUUUUGGGGGUUAUGGUGCCAACAGUUUAGGAAUUAAGGACCAAAAAGAGACCAAAAACAAGCAUUUUUGUAGUUUUUGGACAAUAACUUGUGUGUAAGUUUAUGGAUCUCUCUCACAUUGUUCCAAAAGGUUCCAUAUCACUAAAAGAAGGCUGGUAUUGAGUUUGGGGGUAAUUGCCCAAUUCAUGCAGGAAUUAGGGGCCAAAAAAGGGCAAAAAAAAGCAUUUUUCUAGUUUUGAGACAAUAACUUGUGUUUAAGCGUAUGGAUCUCUCUGAAAUUGUACUACAAGGUUCCAUACUAGAAAGGAAAGUCUGGGAUGCAAUGUGGG